GCCAGGCGUGGUGGCGUGCACCUGUAGUCCUAGCUACUUGGGAGGCUGAGGUGGGAGAAUUGCUUGAACCCAGGAGGCGUAGGUUGCAGUGAGCUGAGAUGGCACCACUGCACUCCAGCCUGAGUUACAGAGUGAGACCCUGUCUCAA
rnacentral:SRP_RNA from 1 species